rnacentral:rRNA from 1 species
GAUGAACGCUGGCGGCGUGCCUAAUACAUGCGAGUCGAGCGAACGGACGAGAAGCUUGCUUUUCUGAUGUUAGCGGCGGACGGGUGAGUAACACGUGGAUAACCUACCUAUAAGACUGGGAUAACUUCGGGAAACCGGAGCUAAUACCGGAUAAUAUUUUGAACCGCAUGGUUCAAAAGUGAAAGACGGUCUUGCUGUCACUUAUAGAUGGAUCCGCGCUGCAUUAGCUAGUUGGUAAGGUAGCGGCUUACCAAGGCAACGAUGCAUAGCCGACCUGAGAGGGUGAUCGGCCACACUGGAACUGAGACACGGUCCAGACUCCUACGGGAGGCAGCAGUAGGGAAUCUUCCGCAAUGGGCGAAAGCCUGACGGAGCAACGCCGCGUGAGUGAUGAAGGUCUUCGGAUCGUAAAACUCUGUUAUUAGGGAAGAACAUAUGUGUAAGUAACUGUGCACAUCUUGACGGUACCUAAUCAGAAAGCCACGGCUAACUACGUG